AAACACGACCGGCUGGAUUUUCUCCAGAAAGAAGACUGAGGUUCCAAGCGCUUAACUGAUAUAGAUGUAGAUGAUUUUCAAAAGAUCAGCUAAGCGCUUGAGCGAGAUAUGACCAAAUACCGGAAAGAAUAUCCAAUUUAGUAAACCUAUCAUGAUAUAAUGGAAAGUUGGAAUAAGAAACUAAUUAAAGCUGCUCGUGAAGGAAUUUUAACAGAUUUGAAACUUUCCAUUGCAAAGGGAGCUGAUUUGGAAUAUAGAGAUGAAGAUGGAGAUACUCCAUUAUUAAAUGCUGCCUACUAUAGACACCUAGAUACCGUCCAAUUCCUUGUUUCCGCAGGCUGUGUUAGAGAAGCAAGAAAUAAGG